rnacentral:misc_RNA from 1 species
AAGUCGUAACAAGGUAACCGUAGGUGAACCUGCGGUUGGAUCAUUAACAAUGCAAUCAGGCUACCCUGGUCGAGCUUUUCAAGUUCUCAGGAUCCUGAUAUAUUGCUACCCAUUCUCUGUGCACCGUAAACUGUCUCUGGCGGUCGUAGGAGCAACUAAGAAAUCGUAGUUGCUUCUCUAGUUCAUUUGCCCGUAAGGAAAGCAGAUGAAUGAAGCCGCCAAACGGGUUUAAAACACUCUUGUAUUUGUUUUAUUUUUAUUUUUUUUUGUCUGAGACAAAAGUGCCAUUUUUGGUAUGGCAAAAAAUGCGCUUUCAUAAACAACUUUUGGCAACGGAUCUCUUGGCUCUC